ensembl:snoRNA SNORA70 Small nucleolar RNA SNORA70
UUGCCGUCUAGCUUCCCGGUUCUGCUGCCAGUGCGUUCCGGUGUGCAAAGGCUGCAGACAGCAAGUCUUUGGUUUGUGUAUGUCCUCAGCCGGGUGGUGCUGAGUGCUUUAAAGGGACCAUUGAGACAGUU